rnacentral:lncRNA from 1 species
GGUAUCUUUUUAAUUUUAUUUCUUUAAAUAAUACCAUUUGUUUUCACUUUUGAAUUGCGUUCAUAUUUUAUUAUGUAUAAUCUUACAUGUACUAUACUGCAUGCAUUCUUCUAAUUGUGGAAAGCCAUUUAUUGAUUUACAUCCUGGUACAUUUGUUGAAUGUUGUUCAUUAGCACGCUUGCCAGAGACUUUUGUUUAUAUUGACAUGUGACAAACAAAUUAAUUUAAAAGAAA